rnacentral:tRNA from 2 species
GGUCCCGUCGUCUAGUGGUCCAGGACGUCUGGUUCUCAUCCAGAAAAUCAAGGGUUCGACUCCCUUCGGGAUCACCA